rnacentral:rRNA from 1 species
CGCUGGCGGCGUGCUUAACGCAUGCAAGUCGAACGGAAAGGCCCUGCUUUUGUGGGGUGCUCGAGUGGCGAACGGGUGAGUAACACGUGAGUAACCUGCCCUUGACUUUGGGGAUAACUUCAGGAAAACUGGGGCUAAUACCGGAUAGGAGCUCCUGCUGCAUGGUGGGGGUUGGAAAGUUUCGGCGGUUGGGGAUGGACUCGCGGCUUAUCAGCUUGUUGGUGGGGUAGUGGCUUACCAAGGCUUUGACGGGUAGCCGGCCUGAGAGGGUGACCGGCCACAUUGGGACUGAGAUACGGCCCAGACUCCUACGGGAGGCAGCAGUGGGGAAUAUUGCACAAUGGGCGGAAGCCUGAUGCAGCAACGCCGCGCGCGGGAUGACGGCCUUCGGGUUGUAAACCGCUUUCGCCUGUGACGAAGCGUGAGUGACGGUAAUGGGUAAAGAAGCACCGGCUAACUACGUG